UAUCAUAAGAAUAGCCUUUAUUCGUUUUCUAAUAGCUGCCUUUCUGUGCUUAUUUAUUUUAUUUCAAAAAACUAUUUAACACGUGUAUUUAAAAUCACGCACUUCACAGAAUACACGGUGUGUAAUUCGCCACAGGCUUCAUUAGACCUCAAAAAAAGGUCCUUUAAUGUGGAGUUAUUCAGCAAUUUCUGAAAACAUGUGGCGGGUGAUGUACGAUAGGAGCGAGACGAGUUUGGCUGUAGCCUGUCGUACCGUCCAUCAUCACUAGGUGUCGCUGUAGUAAACAAACGAAAGACUCUUUCCAGAUCAUCUCUUUCUGCAUGCCCUGAGGUUGGUAGAUGGAAAAGACUUUAGCAGGGCAAUGCUGCUUCGCCAGGAAAGCCUGUGUGUAUGUGAGGACUGCUUCAGGUCUAUUCUGGGGUUGCUGCUGCUGCUGCUGCUCCAUAAUACAAUUCUCUCAAUGGUCUCAUGAGUUAGGAGUCAGAGCAGGUGCUUCAUUGUUACCACUGGCACUCUGGUUGUUUUGCUACCUGCUUUAAAGACGUUUCUCUGGAGUGAACUG